rnacentral:rRNA from 1 species
AGAACGAACGCUGGCGGCAUGCCUAACACAUGCAAGUCGAACGUGAUCCGGGCUUCGGCCUGGUGAAAGUGGCAGACGGGUGAGUAACGCGUGGGAACCUGCCCUGUGGUAGGGAAUAACCGCGGGAAACUGCGGCUAAUACCCUAUGAGUCCUUCGGGAGAAAGAUUUAUCGCCAUAGGAGGGGCCCGCGUCGGAUUAGGUAGUUGGUGGGGUAACGGCCUACCAAGCCUUCGAUCCGUAGCUGGUCUGAGAGGAUGAUCAGCCACACUGGGACUGAGAUACGGCCCAGACUCCUACGGGAGGCAGCAGUGGGGAAUAUUGGACAAUGGGGGCAACCCUGAUCCAGCAAUGCCGCGUGGGUGAUGAAGGCCUUCGGGUUGUAAAGCCCUUUGGCGGGGAAGAGUGAUGACGGUACCCGCAGAGAAGCCCCGGCUAACUUCGUGCCAGCAGCCGC